GGGUUAAGUUUACAGAUGGUUCUGUAGUAGACCUGCAAAGUCUAUCCUGUUAGGGUUCAAUUCCUUCUUAACCCU
rnacentral:tRNA from 2 species